GAAAAACAAUUAAACGGUUUCGCCUAAACUGAAUCAGAAAACAGAAACAGAAACAAAACCAGAACAUUAACAAAAUAUAAAGGAAAAAUAGUGAAUUAAAGUGCCGAAAAUCGCCAUUAAAUAAACAAACUGUGGCUACAAUUUAAUUAAAUGUACACAAAGAAACAAACGAACAAUUCGCUCGCAUCAGAAACCAACUUAAAUGACUUAAAUGGGCAGCUUAACAAAAUCGUAAUCGCAAUCGCAAUCGCAUUUGUAAUUGUAAUCGAAAUUGUAAUUGAAAAUUGAAAAUGAAAAUGAAAAUAAUUAAGGCAGCAAGCGGAGACAAUUAAAAGGACAGCUCAAUUCGAUAACGAAUACAUUGAAAAAAUAAACGAUAUACAAUUGAGAUUCAAUUGAAACGAGGAGGCAAAGGACGCAAGGACAGCGCAACAUCCCAAUGAAAUCAACGAAGGCGCACAAAUCAAAAAUGGAACCAAAAAUUUUGUGCUUUUGUAUUUGCCCAUUUUAAUGAGUGUAGCAAA